CUCCUACGGGAGGCAGCAGUAAGGAAUAUUGCGCAAUGGGCGAAAGCCUGACGCAGCGACGCCGCGUGGGGGAUGAAGGUCUUCGGAUUGUAAACCCCUUUCGGGAGGGAAGAUGGAACGAGCAAUCGUUCGGACGGUACCUCCAGAAGCAGCCACGGCCAACUUCGUGCCAGCAGCCGCGGUAAUACGAAGGUGGCAAGCGUUGUUCGGAUUCACUGGGCGUACAGGGUGUGUAGGCGGUUUGGUAAGCCUUCUGUUAAAGCUUCGGGCCCAACCCGGAAAGCGCAGAGGGUACUGCCAGGCUAGAGGGUGGGAGAGGAGCGCGGAAUUCCCGGUGUAGCGGUGAAAUGCGUAGAGAUCGGGAGGAAGGCCGGUGGCGAAGGCGGCGCUCUGGAACAUACCUGACGCUGAGACACGAAAGCGUGGGGAGCAAACAGGAUUAGAUACCCUGGUAGUCCACGCCCUAAACUAUGGAUACUAAGUGUCGGCGGGUUACCGCCGGUGCCGCAGCUAACGCAUUA
rnacentral:rRNA from 1 species